rnacentral:rRNA from 1 species
CCUAGGGGAGGCAGCAGUGGGGAAUUUUGGACAAUGGGGGCAACCCUGAUCUAGCCAUGCCGCGUGAGUGAAGAAGGCCUUCGGGUUGUAAAGCUCUUUCGGCCGGGAAGAAAUCGCACAGGCUAAUAUCCUGUGUGGAUGACGGUACCGGCAUAAGAAGCACCGGCUAACUACGUGCCAGCAGCCGCGGUAAU